rnacentral:rRNA from 1 species
GGGAUAUUGGACAAUGGGGGGAGCCCUGAUCCAGCGACGCCGCGUGAGGGAAGAAGUAUUUCGGUCUGUAAAGCUCUGUCAGCAGGGAGGAAAGAAAUGACGGUACCUGACCAAGAAGCCCCGGCUAACUACGUGCCAGCAGCCGCGGUAAUACGUAGGGGGCCAGCGUUAUCCGGAAUUACUGGGUGUAAAGGGAGCGUAGACGGUUAAGUAAGUCUGGAGUGAAAGGCCGGGGACCAACCCCGGGACUGCUCUGGAAACUGUUCAACUUGAGUGCAGGAGAGGUAAGCGGAAUUCCUAGUGUAGCGGUGAAAUGCGUAGAUAUUAGGAGGAACACCAGUGGCGAAGGCGGCUUACUGGACUGUAACUGACGUUGAGGCACGAAAGCGUGGGGAGCAAAC